rnacentral:rRNA from 1 species
GAUGAACGCUGGCGGCGUGCCUAAUACAUGCAAGUCGAGCGAACGGACGAGAAGCUUGCUUCUCUGAUGUUAGCGGCGGACGGGUGAGUAACACGUGGAUAACCUACCUAUAAGACUGGGAUAACUUCGGGAAACCGGAGCUAAUACCGGAUGAUAUUUUGAACCGCAUGGUUCAAAAGUGAAAGACGGUCUUGCUGUCACUUAUAGAUGGAUCCGCGCUGCAUUAGCUAGUUGGUAAGGUAACGGCUUACCAAGGCAACGAUGCAUAGCCGACCUGAGAGGGUGAUCGGCCACACUGUAACUGAGGCACGGUCCAGACUCCUACGGGAGGCAGCAGUAGGGAAUCUUCCGCGAUGGGCGAGAGCCUGACGGAGCAACGCCGCGUGAGUGAUGAAGGUCUUCGGAUCGUAAAACUCUGUUAUUAGGGAAGAACAUAUGUGUAAGUAGCUGUGCACAUCUUGACGGUACCUAAUCAGAAAGCCACGGCUAACUACGUG